GUGCUUGCUUUGGCAGCACAUAUACUAAAAUUGGAAUGAUCCGGAGAAGGUUAGCAUGGCCCCUGCAUAAGGAUGACGCACAAAUUCAUGAAGUGUUCCAUAUCCGC